UACGGAGGGUGCAAGCGUUAAUCGGAAUUACUGGGCGUAAAGGGUGCGUAGGUGGUAUGAUAAGUUGGCUGUGAAAUACCCGGGCUUAACCUGGGAGGGUCAGCCAAUACUGUCAAACUAGAGUAUAGGAGAGGGCAGUGGAAUUUCCGGUGUAGCGGUGAAAUGCGUAGAGAUCGGAAGGAACACCAGUGGCGAAGGCGUCUGCCUGGCCUAAUACUGACACUGAGGCACGAAAGCGUGGGUAGCAAAC
rnacentral:rRNA from 1 species